rnacentral:rRNA from 1 species
UACGGAGGGUGCAAGCGUUAAUCGGAAUUACUGGGCGUAAAGCGUGCGCAGGCGGUUUGUUAAGUCCGUUGUGAAAGCCCCGAGCUCAACUUGGGAAUUGCAGUGGAUACUGGCAGGCUGGAGUACGGUAGAGGAAGGUGGAAUUCCCGGUGUAGAAGUGAAAUGCGUAGAUAUCGGGAGGAACACCAGUGGCGAAGGCGGCCUUCUGGACCAGUACUGACGCUCAUGCACGAAAGCGUGGGGAGCAAACAGG